UCCUGGUUAGCUCAGUUGGUAGAGCGCUCCACUAAAACUGGAGAGGUCCCUGGUUCAGGACCAGGCG
rnacentral:tRNA from 1 species